GCACCGUUGGGGCAGUUGUGUCCCACUACAAGGAGUAGGGGAGUCCCCCCCUACUUGGGUCUCCCACUUGUCUCGCAUGCCUCAGAGCGGCUCUCAGCAGGAGCCCAGUCCGCGCCGAACUUGGACUGGGACUUCUCUUGCUAGGUGUUCCCUACUACAGGAAACUGGAUAAAGAAUCGCCGUGUCCUCGUUUCCAGCAAACCCUCGGGUUUCAAGAUUCUCGUCCAUAUUGGUGACCUUUAACCUGACAGGUCUGUCAGCUGGGCCUCACAGAGAUGGAUAAUUGUCUUAUGCAGCUCCAGGAGUGGAAGAUCCCAUUUUGGAUACCAGUGCAUUGAACUGAGCCACACUGGCUUUCCUUGUCAGAGAGGCAGGCUAGGUAGCACUUCAGAAAUCACAGAAAUUUCCCAAACCUCAAACGUUGCGAAUAAAGGAGAUAAUAAAGGGACACAUCAGAUGGGCACAGCUCUUGGUCCCACUAACAUCCCCCCGGUGUGCUCAAGCACCCUGCCUUUCAUUUUCAGCACACUCUACUCCUAUCAUCUUUCCUCUGCCUUAAUUUUUUUCCCCUUUGUGAUAACAGCUACCAUCACUUUCAGGUAAUACAAUCUAGCACCCCUGUUGUUCCUUUUAUGGAAAUUCUAGCCACUGCAAGUACAUGUGGUACU